GACGAACGCUGGCGGCGUGCCUAAUACAUGCGAGUAGAACGCUGAAGAGAGGAGCUUGCUCUUCUUGGAUGAGUUGCGAACGGGUGAGUAACGCGUAGGUAACCUGCCUGGUAGCGGGGAUAACUAUUGGAAACGAUAGCUAAUACCGCAUGAUAUUAAUUGCCGCAUGAUAAUUAAUUGAAAGAUGCAAUUGCAUCACUACCAGAUGGACCUGCGUUGUAUUAGCUAGUUGGUGAGGUAACGGCUCACCAAGGCGACGAUACAUAGCCGACCUGAGAGGGUGAUCGGCCACACUGGGACUGAGACACGGCCCAGACUCCUACGGGAGGCAGCAGUAGGGAAUCUUCGGCAAUGGGGGGAACCCUGACCGAGCAACGCCGCGUGAGUGAAGAAGGUUUUCGGAUCGUAAAGCUCUGUUGUAAGAGAAGAACGGGUGUGAGAGUGGAAAGUCACACUGGGACGGUAUCU
rnacentral:rRNA from 1 species